CAGAUCAUCCAUAGAGUUAUGCAGAAAAUUCUUCUGUUUAACAGGAUGCUGCACUAGCAAGAGGAACACCUGAAGGAGCUUUGAUCCUCUGGAAAUCAGCUUUCAUUAUGAUGAAAGAUGUCUUCAUCCAACAUGAGACAGUUUAUAAAGUCCAAACUUGUGCUAAACAUGAUUUCACUAGUCAGAUGUUCUAUGCUCCUUUGAAGACCUCAAAAGUACUGAAGUUAAAAAGCUCUGAGAAUAUUUGUUAUGAGCAGGAAUAAAUAUUCCAGCUCUACAUCAACCUCAUGAUGGACUAAUUCGAACAGACUGGUAGAAAGUCUGCAGACCAUGUUGAUAUUCUGCACAGGAGCUUCAGACAUCUGAUUGCCUGGCUUGACUGCAGCAGGAUGGCAAUAGGAAUUGACAUGAUUGAAACAGAUCCAGAAGUCUUCUGUAAAGAGUGGUGAAACUAGAAAAAAUAUUUACUGUUUCUUAGGCGAAUUGA